UGGCGGACGGGUGAGUAAUGUCUGGGAAACUGCCUGAUGGAGGGGGAUAACUACUGGAAACGGUAGCUAAUACCGCAUAACGUCGCAAGACCAAAGAGGGGGACCUUCGGGCCUCUUGCCAUCGGAUGUGCCCAGAUGGGAUUAGCUAGUAGGUGGGGUAACGGCUCACCUAGGCGACGAUCCCUAGCUGGUCUGAGAGGAUGACCAGCCACACUGGAACUGAGGCACGGUCCAG
rnacentral:rRNA from 1 species